rnacentral:tRNA from 1 species
GGGGAUAUAGCUCAUCUGGUAGAGUGUUUGCCUAGCAUACACAAGGCCCUGGGUUCAAUCCCCAGCACCACCA